rnacentral:rRNA from 1 species
AUUGAACGCUGGCGGCAUGCUUUACACAUGCAAGUCGAACGGUAACAGGGAGCUUGCUCCGCUGACGAGUGGCGAACGGGUGAGUAAUGCGUCGGAACGUGCCGAGUAGUGGGGGAUAACGCAUCGAAAGGUGUGCUAAUACCGCAUACGAACUGAGGUUGAAAGUGGGGGACCUUCGGGCCUCACGCUAUUCGAGCGGCCGACGUCUGAUUAGCUAGUUGGUGAGGUAAAGGCUCACCAAGGCGACGAUCAGUAGCGGGUCUGCGAGGAUGGUCCGCCACACUGGGACUGAGACACGGCCCAGACUCCUACGGGAGGCAGCAGUGGGGAAUUUUCGGCAAUGGGCGCAAGCCUGACCGAGCAACGCCGCGUGAGUGAUUAAGGCCUUCGGGUUGUAAAGCUCUGUUGUAAGGGAAGAACACUCAGGAUAGGAAAUGAUCUUGAACUGACGGUACCUUACCAGAAAGCCACGGCUAACUACGUGCCAGCAGCCGCGGUAACAC